GAUCCUGGCUCAGGAUGAACGCUAGCGACAGGCUUAACACAUGCAAGUCGAGGGGCAGCACGGUGUAGCAAUACAUUGGUGGCGACCGGCGCACGGGUGAGUAACGCGUAUGCAACCUACCUAUCAGAGGGGAAUAACCCGGCGAAAGUCGGACUAAUACCGCAUAAAACAGGGGUUCCACAUGGAAAUAUUUGUUAAAGAUUUAUCGCUGAUAGAUGGGCAUGCGUUCCAUUAGAUAG
rnacentral:rRNA from 1 species